rnacentral:rRNA from 1 species
UACGUAGGGUGCAAGCGUUGUCCGGAAUUAUUGGGCGUAAAGAGCUCGUAGGCGGUUUGUUGCGUCGGCUGUGAAAUCCCGAGGCUCAACCUCGGGUCUGCAGUCGAUACGAGCAAACUAGAGUGUUGCAGGGGAGACUGGAAUUCCUGGUGUAGCGGUGAAAUGCGCAGAUAUCAGGAGGAACACCGGUGGCGAAGGCGGGUCUCUGGGCAACAACUGACGCUGAGGAGCGAAAGUCAGGGGAGCAAACGGG